UUACGGCCACAUCAUGUUAAAACACCGGUUUCCGUACGAUUACUGUAGUUAAGCAACAACGAGUCUGGUCAGUAAAUAGAUGGGUUACCGCAAGGGAAUACCAGGCACUGUAA